UACAGAGGUCUCAAGCGUUGUUCGGAUUCAUUGGGCGUAAAGGGUGCGUAGGCGGCGCGGUAAGUCGGGUGUGAAAUUUCGAGGCUUAACUUCGAAACUGCAUUCGAUACUGCCGUGCUAGAGGACUGGAGAGGAGACUGGAAUUUACGGUGUAGCGGUGAAAUGCGUAGAUAUCGUAAGGAAGACCAGUGGCGAAGGCGGGUCUCUGGACAGUUCCUGACGCUGAGGCACGAAGGUCAGGGGGAGCAAACGGGG
rnacentral:rRNA from 1 species